rnacentral:rRNA from 1 species
AACGAACGCUGGCGGCAUGCCUAACACAUGCAAGUCGAACGAGACCUUCCGGUCUAGUGGCGCACGGGUGCUUGACGCGUGGGAACCUGCCCUUGGGUUCGGUAUACCUCCCCGAACGGGGUGCUAAUACCGCUUAAUCUCUUCGGACCAAAGAUUUAUCGCCUUUGGAUGGGCCCGCGUUGGAUUAGCUAGUUGGUAGGGUAAACGCCUACCAAGGCGACGAUCCAUAGCUGGUCUGAGAGGAUGAUAAGCCACACUGGGACUGAGACACGGCCCAGAAUGCUACGGGAGGCAGCAGUGGGGAAUAUUGGACAAGGGGCGAAAGCCUGAUCAAGCAAUGCCGGGUGAGUGAUGAAGGCCUUAGGGUUGUAAAGCUCUUUUACCCGGGAUGAUAAUGACAGUACCGGGAGAAUAAGCUCCGGCUAACUCCGUG